GAUGAACGCUAGCUACAGGCUUAACACAUGCAAGUCGAGGGGUAACGAGAGGAAAGCUUGCUUUCCUUGUCGACGACCGGCGCACGGGUGAGUAACGCGUAUCCAACCUGCCCCCAACUAGGGAAUAACCUUGCGAAAGUAAGACUAAUACCCUAUAAUUUCCUCAGAUGACAUCUGACGAGGAAUAAAGAUUUAUCGGUCGUGGAUGGGGAUGCGUCUGAUUAGCUUGUUGGCGGGGUAACGGCCCACCAAGGCAACGAUCAGUAGGGGUUCUGAGAGGAAGGUCCCCCACAUUGGAACUGAGACACGGUCCAAACUCCUACGGGAGGCAGCAGUGAGGAAUAUUGGUCAAUGGGCGGAAGCCUGAACCAGCCAAGUAGCGUGCAGGAUGACGGCCCUAUGGGUUGUAAACUGCUUUUAUACAGGAAUAAAGUUAGCCACGUGUGGUUAUUUGUAGGUACUGUAUGAAUAAGGACCGGCUAAUUCCGUGCCAGCAGCCGCCGUAA
rnacentral:rRNA from 1 species